rnacentral:rRNA from 1 species
GAUUAACGCUGGCGGCGUGCCUAACACACGCAAGUCGAACGAGGUAGCAAUACCUAGUGGCAGACGGGUGAGUAACGCGUGGUCAACCUACCGUUGAGUGGGGGAUAACUAGCCGAAAGUUAGCUAAUACCGCAUACGUCUCCGAGGGGCAUCCCUUGGCGAUAAAAGGAGCAAUCCGCUCGAUGACGGGACCGCGUCCCAUUAGCUAGAUGGUGGGGUAACGGCCUACCAUGGCACCGAUGGGAGCUGGUCUGAGAGGACGAUCAGCCACACUGGCACUGCGACACGGGCCAGACUCCUACGGGAGGCAGCAGUAAGGAAUAUUGCGCAAUGGGCGAAAGCCUGACGCAGCGACGCCGC